CCCUUUGAGAAAGCACCCUUACGAGGAAGAAUCCCAAGGCUCAGGAGGUGAACAGAUUCAUCUCCUACAGCACAACUAAUAGGUAAUGUACCAGGAUAAGGAUCUCUGGCAGCCCAGCUCCCAACUCUCAGGUUUUAACUACACCGCAGAGCCACCUCUGGGAAGCAGCACACACUCUGCACAACUUGAGGGCAGGAGACCAGUCUUAUUAUCAUUGUAACUCUGCUGCCAGCAAAGAAUCUUAAACAGUUUCUUGAAGUAGGCAGAAGCAGUGAUGACAACCGUAUGCCUUUGCUCAUGAAGUUUCCUUCUAUCAGUCAUUUCACUCCACUACUGUCAAGUCUUUGGAAGGAAUUUUGGAUGUUCCCUGACUCCAGGUUUAAGGACUGUUCCACCAAAAGGUUAUUAAGUAAAUGUUUACAGUAAUCUUUGCCCACCUUGGACUGUUCCUAUCUCUGGUAUUUCACCACGAUCAGAGUCUAAGAUCAUUUGGCAAACAUUUUAAGGAAAUAAAAGGUAUGAAAAUCCCUUUAUUGAGGUCAGAACUAUGGAGUUACGGAGAUACUUGGUAGACUCCCCAGCAGCUGAGAACAGUCAGCUAGAAAGUGAUGCAGAAAUUCAUAAACCAUAUUAAAAGUUUUGG